rnacentral:piRNA from 2 species
AGAUGAAGUAUAUACCACCCGACAA